rnacentral:rRNA from 1 species
GACGAACGCUGGCGGCGUGCUUAACACAUGCAAGUCGAACGGACCCUUUGGGGUUAGUGGCGAACGGGUGAGUAACACGUGGGUGAUCUGCCCUGCACUUUGGGAUAAGCCUGGGAAACUGGGUCUAAUACCGGAUAGGACUACGCACUGCAUGGUGUGUGGUGGAAAGCUUUUGCGGUGUGGGAUGGGCCCGCGGCCUAUCAGCUUGUUGGUGGGGUGAUGGCCUACCAAGGCGACGACGGGUAGCCGGCCUGAGAGGGUGACCGGCCACACUGGGACUGAGAUACGGCCCAGACUCCUACGGGAGGCAGCAGUGGGGAAUAUUGCACAAUGGGCGCAAGCCUGAUGCAGCGACGCCGCGUGAGGGAUGACGGCCUUCGGGUUGUAAACCUCUUUCGCCAGGGACGAAGCGCAAGUGACGGUACCUGGAGAAGAAGGACCGGCCAACUACGUGCCAGCAGCCGCAGUAAGAC